AAAAAAGCCUCAUAUGCUAGCAUUUGCUGGAGGAAAUCACUUGGGUAGCAUUUGGCCACAGCUUUCUUACAGUUUUUUGGUUUUGUUCUUUAAAGGUCUCCUAAGCUCUUAACAAUGUCAAAUCAUCUCUUUCCAGGAAUGCAAGAAACAACACCAGGAGGUCAUAUCUGUUUACAGAAUGCAUCUUCUGUACGCCGUGCAGGGCCAGAUGGACGAAGAUGUCCAGAAAGUACUGAAGCAGAUCCUUACCAUGUGUAAAAACCAGUCCCAGAAGAAGUAAAAUGGAUCCCUUGGCAGGACACUGCCCCCUUGUUGUCCAUCUUUGCAUUAGAUCUGGAGUUGCUGGCAGCCACUGACUGCCAUUGUGCUCACUCGUCGUCUGCGCCGUGGCCUCGCAGAGCUUUUUCCCUUUCCAAAGGCAGCUUUCUGAGGCCCGGGCCCUGGGGGAGACUGUCCUCAGAACCGCUUAGAGACCUCAGCAGCCGAGGUGACGCACCGUGUUACCCCUUCAGACUCCGGAGCUGGGGUCAGCCACAGCCGGGGGUGUGGUCCUGGUGCUGGCAGUGGGCACCCUCCUCCGUGGCUGACCGGCCGAGGGGCUUCGUGGUCCCAGACGGAUGUGCUGAGACCUGCGCUCCCCGUGGCUUUCGUUCCCACACUCAGGCCGUGCCGUUCAGCACCGGAGGGCUCUUUUUGCCUUUGGUUUCCAAUCCUAAAACACGAUUCAACUUUUGGCCAAAUUAGUCUGGCACUAGUUAUGUGGUGCACGCUGAAGAGCCUUUAUUGUGAUAUCCUGUGGAUUUUAAAAACUCUCAUUCCAUCAUUUCCCCCCAUCUGCCUUAUAUAGCUCAUCACGCUGCUCGCUCCUUGGUCCCGUGGUGUGAUGAGACUAUUCACUAAAAUCUGAAGUUGAGAAACAAAAGCAAAUUGUCCUUAGAAGUUCUUUUUAAAGCAAACUGUUGACAUAGUGCAGAUUUUCUAUGCAAACUGGCCUCCUGCUGUUAUCCGUGAAGCUCAGGAAUCCAGACUUUUGUGUUCAACGAGGGACAGUAAACUGCGUGUUUACAGCCAAAAGAAAUGCCUCAUGGUUCUUAACCUCAGUUUUUUUAAAAGUGUUUUUUUUUCCUCUACGAUAUUUUUAUUGGCUCUUAAAGAUGUUUUCGUAGCUAAACCCCUAAAUAAGUGAAAUCUACAUUAGACUCUAUUAACAAAGUAUUUUUAGGUAACCGUGCUUGCGACUUUUUUUUAAAGCCUAACUUUUUCUUCAGAGUUUUCCACUAUAGCCAAGGGUAGUUAUGUAUUUAUUCCUUUUCCAAACUCAACAUGAGCUCCCACCGGUAUCCCUAGACGUUCUGCCAUCGUGUCCUUAGAACUGUAGCACAUUUCUGAAUACGGUAAAUCCUCCUGUUACCCACUGAGUAUUUUUGAAUGCCCCAGCGCUACCAGCGCCUGUAAAAAUGAUGUCUGGAAGGACUGUUAGUACCGAUCACUUUUCCAAUGUUGGAACUAAAAAUCCCGAUAUGGUACACCUGAUGGUGCAUGGCAAAGGUCACGGGGGAAAGUAUUUCUGUUCACUUUACUUUCAGGUUAAAAGUGUUUUUGAACUUGAUCGCAGCUUCCUUAUGGCAUUGUUCUUAAGGAGGAAUGUCAGCUGAGCAUGGACCUCUCCGAGGUGUAUAACGGAAAGGGCCGAGGCCUGCCCUGACAGGGCCCACGUGCCUUUGGGCCGCCUGGGCACACAGGGUGCUAGGCUGUUUCGGAGGAUGUGUUCAUCUCUAUUGGAUGAGGACCAAGGACAGCAAAGCAAAAAUGGCUUUCAAGCUUGGCGUUACUUUCCUUAAGUUGUGUAUAGUUCAGCAGUUCCGAAAAUGCUCCAAAGAAAUGUGAAAGGACUUUUUGUCACAGCCCUUAAUACAAGCAAACCCCUCCUCCUGCCCCCGCACAGAAAUGCUGCAGAGUAUAAAACUUGAGACAUUUUGUAGGACGCCUGACAAAGUGUAGCCUUUUAUCUUGUUUCAGGAUGCCUAUUUAUUUUAAGUACUCUGGUUAAAUAUUGAAAAGUUAUAUGCUGUAGUUUAGCAUUUUUGCCUUUGUAAUUUACGGAAGGUAUUGCAGAAAAUAAACUUUUGUUUCAUUUUGCA